rnacentral:ncRNA from 1 species
UUGCGUCUACUCCACAACAAUAGGCGCCGUUCAUCCCAAAAGGAGGAAAUAUCAACCCCGCAAGACUCGCGGUGCGGCAGUGUGGAGACCUGUCGUAAUGCGGCCGCUACAUUUCCGAGCGGCUGCGAGAAUACAGGCGAGGAUUCCCUGUGUUUAGAGUCGGUACAGUAUGGCA